rnacentral:rRNA from 1 species
UACGAAGGGGGCUAGCGUUGCUCGGAAUUACUGGGCGUAAAGGGAGCGUAGGCGGAUAGUUUAGUCAGAGGUGAAAGCCCAGGGCUCAACCUUGGAACUGCCUUUGAUACUGGCUAUCUUGAGUAUGGGAGAGGUGAGUGGAACUCCGAGUGUAGAGGUGAAAAUUCGUAGAUAUUCGGGAAGAACACCAGUGGCGAAGGCGACUCACUGGCCCAUUACUGAACGCUGAGGCUCGGAAAGCGUG